rnacentral:misc_RNA from 1 species
CAACCCUCAAGCGCGGCUUGUGUGUUGGGCUUCGUCCCCCGAGGACGGGUCCGAAAGGCAGUGGCGGCGUCCGUUUCGGUGCCCGAGCGUAUGGGAACUCUUGUCCCGCUUGGUGGCCCGGCGGCGCUGGUCAAAACCAAUUUUUACC